rnacentral:RNase_P_RNA from 1 species
UGAGUCGGCCGGGUGGCCGCGGUCUGGGCGGCGUCCGGAGGAUGUCCGCACCAGGCUGAGGAAGGUCGGGGCUCCGCAGGGCAGGGUGCUGGCUAGCGGCCAGUCGGGGUGACCCGGGGAAAGUGCCACAGAGAACAGACCGCCGAUGACGACCGUGUCCAACAGGCAAGGUCGAACAGGCAAGGGUGAAACGGUGCGGUAAGAGCGCACCAGCAGGCGGAGCGAUCCGGCUGGCUCGGCAAACCCCACCCGGAGCAAGGUCGAGCAGGGACCACGGGCUGCCCGCCCGACGCCGGUACUCCCGGCAGUCAGUCCCGGGUAGACCGCUCAGAUGGAUGGCCACCGUGCCGUAUUGCGCGGCAUACAGAACCCCGCCUACAGGCCGGCUCACCGC